AGGACCGAACACACAUCUGUUGAAAAAGGUGGUGAUGAGGUGUGGAUAGCGGAGAAAUUCCAAUCGAACUCGGAGAUAGCUGGUUCUCCUCGAAAUAGCUUUAGGGCUAGCCUCGAGAGGAGUCUAACGGAGGUAAAGCACUGAACUGACGCGGGGCCCAAAAAGGUUACCAACUCAUAUCAAACUAAGAAUGCCGUCAAGAUACCCUCGGGAGUCAGUCUGCGUGAGAUAAGUCGCGUGGACAAAAGGGAAAGAGCCCAGACCGACAGCUAAGGUCCCAAAGUACGUGUUAAGUGGAAAAGGAUGUGGGAUUUCAUAGACAACUAGGAUGUUGGCUUAGAAGCAGCCAUACAUUUAAAGAGUGCGUAACAGCUCACUAGUCGAGAAAACCUGCGCCGAAAAUUUAACGGGGCUAAAACACGACACCGAAGCUACGGAUUUCCUACUAGGUAGGAAGUGGUAGAGGAGCAUCCUGCAAGGACGAAGCCAAAGUGAGAACGAUGGUGGACGAAACAGGAGAGAGAAUGCCGGAAUGAGUAGCGAGAUAGAAGUAAGAAACUUCUAGGCCGAAUAUCUAAGGUUUCCUGGGUAAAGCUAAUCUUCCCAGGGUUAGUCGGGGCCUAAGGCGAGGACGAAAGUCGUAGUCGAUGGAUAACAGGUUGAUAUUCCUGUACUACGUAUCAUCAGAACUGUGGGGACGCAGGAGGAUAGGAAAACCGGGGAAUGGAAAAACCCGGCCAAGUACAAAGUCAAGGGAGAUAGGCAAAUCCGUCUCUUGAUGAUGAAGUGCGAUGGGGACUGAACAAAAGUAGGGAAGUUUCCGAAUCCACACUGUCGAGAAAAGCCGCUAUUGUGUGAUACGUACCCGUACCGUAAACCGACACAGGUAGAUGAGGAGAAAAUCCACAGGCCGACGGGAGAAGUGUUGUUAAGGAACUCGGCAAAAUGACCCCGUAACUUAGGGAGAAGGGGAGCCACGCAAGUGGCCGCAGAAAAGAGGCUCAAGCGACUGUUUAGCAAAAACACAGGUCUCUGCGAAACCGAAAGGUGAAGUAUAGGGGCUGACACCUGCCCGGUGCUGGAAGGUUAAAAGGAGAGGUUCGACGUAAGUCAAAGCUUUGAAUUCAAGCCCCAGUAAACGGCGGCCGUAACUAUAACGGUCCUAAGGUAGCGAAAUUCCUUGUCAGGUAAGUUCUGACCCGCACGAAAGGUGUAACGAUUUGAGCACUGUCUCGACAACACGCCCGGUGAAAUUGAAGAACCAGUGAAGAUACUGGUUACCCGCAACAGGACGGAAAGACCCCAUGGAGCUUUACUGCAGCCUGAUACUGGGAUUCGAUGAUAUAUGUACAGGAUAGGAGGGAGACUAGGAAUCCGGGACGCCAGUUUCGGAGGAGUCGACGGUGGGAUACCUCUCUUAUGUUAUUGGAUUUCUAACUUGGCACCGUGAUCCGGUGUGAGGACAAUGUCAGGCGGGCAGUUUGACUGGGGCGGUCGCCUCCUAAAAGGUAACGGAGGCGCUCGAAGGUCACCUCAGAAUGAUUGGAAACCAUUCAAAGAGUGUAAAGGCAAAAGGUGGCUUGACUGCGACACCGACGGGUGGAGCAGGUACGAAAGUAGGACUUAGUGAUCCGGUGGUAUUAAGUGGGAAUGCCAUCGCUCAACGGAUAAAAGCUACCCUGGGGAUAACAGGCUUAUCUCCCCCAAGAGUUCACAUCGACGGGGAGGUUUGGCACCUCGAUGUCGGCUCAUCGCAUCCUGGGGCUGAAGUAGGUCCCAAGGGUUGGGCUGUUCGCCCAUUAAAGCGGUACGCGAGCUGGGUUCAGAACGUCGUGAGACAGUUCGGUCCCUAUCCGUUGUGGGCGCAGGAAAUUUGAGAGGAGCUGUCCUUAGUACGAGAGGACCGGGAUGGACGUACCUCUGGUGUACCGGUUGCAGACCAACUGCACAGCCGGGUAGCUAUGUAUGGAACGGAUAAACGCUGAAGGCAUCUAAGCGUGAAGCCGCCCUCAAGAUAAGAUUUCCCAUUCU
rnacentral:rRNA from 1 species